ensembl:lncRNA
CCUGUCUUGGGGUCCACCGAAGGAAGUUAUGAAAGGGAGAAUAUGGAUGAUGAUUUCAAGACUUGCUGCUAUCGAAUACAGAUUGCCCUGUGAUCAAUUUGAUCGAUUAUUAACGUUUAUUAAUACCUAAAGUUAGUUUACAAAGGUAGUUUGAAGUGUUUUGUCAAAGUUUAUAGGCAACUUUUUUAAUUAAAAAAAAACGCCGUUGCGUUUUAGAAAGGUUCUUUUUCCUGGAUCAGACGGGUUUCAUAAAUGGACAUUUUUGGUAUACAUGGACGGAUUUAAUCGAAAAAAGACCCAAUUGUGAUGUUUAUGGGACAUAUAGGAGUGCCAACAAAGAAGCUCAUCAAAGGGUGGGCAGUGCCAGGCCCCUGCGUCACUCUCUGCCCACCUGGCAGCCACAGGAGGGCAGCCACGAGCCUGACAGUAUGUCGGGAGAGCAGCGAGCACAGAACUUAAAGAGUCUAUCAACGCAUCGUGAACUAGGCCACCACUGCAGGGAAGACAUCAACUGUACCAGUGAGAGAAAGGAUGUGGAGAAUAAUAUUUUUCCACCUUUGACUUUCAUCCCCCUUCCCACUCUCUGGGAAUGUCCAGGCAUUUCAGAGAGACUGAACCUGGGAUGAGAGGAGGGAAUGUCUUACAUAGUUCCAUUGCUAAAUAUCUUCCUACAGUAGCCCACAUUCUCCUUCAAUAUGUGAAUAUCUCUCUUCAUUAUUUCUCAAAGGAACCAAGUGGAAAUGUUCUAUUAUGAGCUCAAUCAUUUAGCCUAUUUUCUUUGAUUGUUUCAUCUUGGGCUGGUGAUUUUAGAUAUGACUUUUUACACAAAGCACACGAGGCAAUAUAGGGGGAUUAAUUGUUUAAAGUGGAAAAUAUUGUUAUUCAAAUGAUGUCAAUAAAGACCAAUUUAAAAUAA